ensembl:lncRNA
AACAAUCUUUAAUUCAAAUGUAAAAUUCAAUACAAGCUAUUUGUAUGGGUUUGGGAUCUGUUGUUCUUUAAAAACAAGAAUGGGAAAAUGCAUCAAAAUGACCUUUCCACUUUUUAAAAACAUUCAAAGAAUGAAUAGAUCAUGGGGAACUGGAAAACCUUCCUGGUCUAUUCACUGCCUGAUUUUUUCCUUUGGCUGUCCCAGUUGUGUUAGCAUGGAGACUUGGUCAUCAACAAAAAAUUCCCUUUUAUGAAACUGCUAACAUGUAACUAAAUGGUUUAUGCAUUUUAAGUUUUUCUGUCAUUUUUAUAACUUUUUUGAAGAACAAAUAAUCAAUUUAAUCAUGGAGAACUAUUUUUUCAUAACUAAACUUUGAAAUAUAUAUCAUGAGAAUUAAAUCAUAUUUAUAUCAAUAAGAAUGUAUAUUUAUAUUGGAAUUGAUUAGCAUUUUAAGUUUCUUUAGUAAAUGUGUUUUAAUUCUACAGACUUUAAGUUGAAAUAUAUAAAUUCGUAAGAAAAAAACCUGUAUUAUACUCUAUUUAUUUUUAUUAGUAAUUAUAUUGAUAGCAUUAUUAUACAAUUUAGAAAUGCUGUUGGUUUAUAUUUUGGCAUCAAGAUGAGUAUUUUUCCUAAAAGACUUUUGAGUACAGAAGAUAAUUUAGGGGAGGAGCAAGGGUGUAUAUUUUUUUUGGCUAAUAUACUGCAUAGAACUGUUACACAGCUGUUUCUUAACUGAAAUGUUGCUUUGCAAUCUCCAUUAUUUUAGUGUGGUUUUUAACAUUUUUUUUCCAGGAAUUUCAAGUUCUACUUUAGACUCUGAAAGGACUUUUAAUUUUAUAGAGGAUCAGAAGGAUUUUUCACAUUUCUUUUGCUUAAAAGCACAAAAGUCAAGGCAACAAGGAGAAAUAGAAGGAGAUUGCAUCAGUGUCUUGUGAAGAAAAGAACCUUUGGUUACCAAAACUGGUAAUGAUAAUUAGCAGCUAUUUUUAAAUUGUUUUGAAAUAGUACCUCCUUUUGUUCUCCAAAAAUGAAUUAAUUGGGAUUUAGACUGGUUUCUAAAAUGACUUCUACUGAAAGAUUUUAGGAUUAUCUGCAUAAAUUGAGCAUACUGUGCCUGUGCAAGUAAAGACAGUAUGACAUGCAUGAUAUGAGACAAUUUUAGAUUUACGAAUAUAAAUCUAAUAAUUAAAAUGCGUUUUUUUCUGUUAUAUGCAGGUAGUAAAGGCAGGAGACCUGCUGCUAGAAUAUGUGUAUACAAAUAUUUGUAUACCACCCCCAUACCCUGUUGUUUAAUUUUUAGUAUUCUUCAUUUGCUAAAAGUAAACCCAAAUCCAGAUUUAUUUUAAUUUUUUAUUAAACUAAAUUAAAUCAAAUUUAUCAUUUUAAGAAUGCUUGUUUUCUAAGCUGAUUGCCAAUUAUAAAUUACAUUUUGUUGUUAUAAGAGGAAUCACUUCGCCUUGCAGACUGUGACCUCUGUCCUCACACUGUUUUCCUCUCCUCUUUACCUAUUUGUUUUAAAACAGAGCUCUACACAUAGAGUUGACUAAUUGGACCUUGUGCUUCUUAAUACCCCCUGCCUCUUACAUUAAGAUUGGAACCAUACUCAACUAUGAUUCAAACCUCAGUAAUUUUUUCUUUUAUUAAUAUAAAUGUGGAGAGGGUUUUGAUUCCAUUUAGUAAUGUAGCUUUUGAAAUCUUGCUUUUUGGCCCGUGAAUGUUCAUUUCUUGCAUCUUGUAAUAAUGUAUUUAUUAAAUAUCCCAAAAUAUAAAUUAUUGGGAAUAAGACUAAUGAUAUGAAUAUGAGAUACCAUAAAUAUAACCUAAUUAUUAGGUUAUUGAAUUUGGCUUAAUUUCACAUUUUAUUAUGGUUUUUAUGAAGAUUUUUUUCUUGACAGCUAAUUCUUUGUGUUCUUCCUCAAGAUAAAAGUCAGUGGAUAUGUAGAAUUAAAGAAUUAAGAGCAUGGUAAAGCAACAUUAAAGAAAUAGUAAAUUUAAUUGAUGUAAUGGUUUUCUUUUGUAUACUCUAUGGGUCAGAGUCUCUGAUCUUUGUUUUUUUCUUUCCCAGCAUAUCACAAACCCAAGGAAGGUUGUUGGCCAGCAAGAUUUGAUGAUCAAUAACCCCUUUCACAGGAUGAUGGGGUAAAGUUUGUCUAUAUUCAUCUCUCAGCCUCUUUUAGCUGUACGAAAAGGCCAAUGUGACCAGUUAUCAGUUGUUCUGAAAACAGUGUAGUUCAUGUCAGCUCUUUUCUUUACUCCACAUACUAUAAUGCUACAGCCUGAUGGAAACUGCCCGACAGUGUACUGCAGGAGGUGUAGGAGCUCUUUCUGUGGAAAGGCACCAAGAGAUAUCCCAGGGGUUUAUAAGAAGGAAGGGUAACAGGCGAGCAUAAAGUUGAUGCCAGAACCGUGUUGCCAAGGCUCCAGGGGACAGGGCAGCUAAGGAAAGCCUUUCUUCCUCAUGAGAACAGACAAGAUUUCAUUUUGAAGGCCUAACUCCCAGGGAUAAAAAAGUAAAUAUGCAGGAAUAAAAAAAAAUACAGGAAAAAGAUCA